UACAGAGGGUGCGAGCGUUAAUCGGAAUUACUGGGCGUAAAGCGCGCGUAGACGGUUUUGUAAGUCAGAUGUGAAAUCCCUGGGCUCAACCUGGGAACUGCAUUUGAGACUGCAUGGCUAGAGUAUCGAAGAGGGAAGUGGAAUUUCCGGUGUAGCGGUGAAAUGCGCAGAUAUCAGGAGGAACACCGGUGGCGAAGGCGGUUCUCUGGGCCUGUACUGACGCUGAGGAGCGAAAGCGUGGGGAGCGAACAGG
rnacentral:rRNA from 1 species